rnacentral:rRNA from 1 species
CCUGACUGCUAUCGGAAUGAUACUAAGCCAUGUGAGUCAUUGUAGCAAUACAAGGCAGACGGCUCAGUAACACGUAGCCAAUCUAACCUAUGGACGGGGAUAACCUCGGGAAACUGAGGAUAAACCCCGAUAGAUCAUUAUGCCUGGAAAGGUUUAUGGUCCAAAUGAUUCGUCGCCGUAGGAUGAGACUGCGGCCUAUCAGCUUGUUGGUGAGGUAAUGGCCCACCAAGGCUAUUACAGGUACGGGCUCUGAGAGGAGAAGCCCGGAGAUGGGUACUGAGACACGGACCCAGGCCCUAUGGGGCGCAGCAGGCGAGAAACCUUUGCAAUGUGCGCAAGCACGACAAGGUUAAUCCGAGUGUUUCCUGCUAAAGGAAUCUUUUGUUAGUCCUAAAAACACUAGUGAAUAAGGGGUGGGCAAGUUCUGGUGUCAGCCGCCGCGGUAAAACCAGCACCUCAAGUGGUCAGGAGGAUUAUUGGGCCUAAAGCAUCCGUAGCUUGCUCUGUAAGUUUCCGGUUAAAUCCAUUAGCUCAACUAAUGGGCUGCCGGAAAAACUGCAAAGCUAGGAAGUGGGAGAGGUAGACGGUACUCGGUAGGAAGGGGUAAAAUCCUUUGAUCUAUUAAUGACCACCUGUGGCGAAGGCGGUCUACCAGAACACGUUCGACAGUGAGGGAUGAAAGCUGGGGGAGCAAACCGGAUUAGAUACCCGGGUAGUCCCAGCUGUAAACGAUGCAGACUCGGUGAUGCCCUGGCUUGUGGCCAGUGCAGUGCCGCAGGGAAGCCGUUAAGUUUGCCGCCUGGGAAGUACGUACGCAAGUAUGAAACUUAAAGGAAUUGGCGGGGGAGCACCACAAGGGGUGAAGCCUGCGGUUC